UGUCACAUCUUCAUUUGAUGUUUUUUCCACAUUUAGAGCUCCAGAAAUCAUCCUGGGCCUGCCGUAUUCUGAGGCCAUCGACAUUUGGUCAUUAGGCUGCGUGAUGGUGAGGAUGAUGACUUCAGAUUGUCUCUUCGGAACAGACUCCGAAUACUGGACAGUGAGUAAAUUACUGCAGCUGAAACACAUUAGAAGCCGUCACAGGAAUAGCUUCAGGUCUAACACGGUGUUAUGUUUUGUUUGCAGCUCCUACGCAUGAUCGGUCUGUUGGGUGUGCCGCCACAACAUGUCAUCGAUGCUGGACGGAGAUCAGAAUUAUUUUUUCAGAAAAUGCCUGAUGGUUUGUGGCAGCUGAAGAGACCUACAGAGUGUUUUGGGACCCAUUUCGACGACGCAGUUUACCAGUUCAGCUCUCUGGAUGAAAUCGAAACGGUGUGCUCUGAGACGGACAACCUAGCAGAGGCCGAUGAGAGAAA